rnacentral:rRNA from 1 species
UACGGAGGGAGCUAGCGUUAUUCGGAAUUACUGGGCGUAAAGCGCACGUCGGCGGCUUUGUAAGUAAGAGGUGAAAGCCUGGAGCUCAACUCCAGAACUGCCUUUUAGACUGCAUCGCUUGAAUCCAGGAGAGGUGAGGGGAAUUCCGAGUGUAGAGGUGAAAUUCGUAGAUAUUCGGAAGAACACCAGUGGCGAAGGCGGCUCACUGGACUGGUAUUGACGCUGAGGUGCGAAAGCGUGGGGAGCAAACAGG